GGACUACUGGGGUAUCUAAUCCUGUUCGCUCCCCACGCUUUCGCUCCUCAGCGUCAGUAAUGGCCCAGAGAUCCGCCUUCGCCACCGGUGUUCCUCCUGAUAUCUGCGCAUUUCACCGCUACACCAGGAAUUCCGAUCUCCCCUACCACACUCUAGCCUGCCCGUAUCGAAUGCAGACCCGGGGUUAAGCCCCGGGCUUUCACAUCCGACGCGACAGGCCGCCUACGAGCUCUUUACGCCCAAUAAUUCCGGACAACGCUCGCACCCUACGUAUUACCGCGGCUGCUGGCAC
rnacentral:rRNA from 1 species